UGGGGAGCAUAGAGGUGGAAGAGGGAGGGCCAUCCAGAAGGUCGGGAAACCUUAAUUCACAGGAGCGGCUCAUAAACAUGGGCACCAUUCCUUAUUCAGUCGCAUCCUCUGCCCUGUCUGGGUUCCGCGUGGUCUCCACUUCUUGUUAGCUUUUCAGCUGCACACCAGGCCCCAGCUGGCAGUGGCUAAUUGCAAUCAGCAGGUGAGAAAUGUAGGUUCUCCGAAAAGGAAUUAUCUCCAGCGCUGGGAACCAUUCUGGGAAAUGUAACAGACCUGGGAAGAGAGGGGGAGAUGUUUAAAACCUGAACUUCUGUGAAAAGCAUUAAUUGAAAAAGACAGCACCGCACACCAGGAACCCAUGACUCGCUCGCCUGAAAAUAUAAUGAAGCAACUUAGUGUGGAAGCAAGGAUGGGGGAGCAUUUCCAUUUCUGCCAAAGCAGCUCCUGCCUCGUGCACAGAAGCCCUGCCCGCCCUCUUUUUCCAGGAGACCCAGAGAGCACAAAGAAAGACAUAAAGCAAUCUACUGUGAAGCAGAAGGACUAGAGGAAGCAAGUUCAAGAUCAGUUCACAAUCUCUCGAGGUCUCUGAGCACGCCGGUGUUCACUCAGCCUAGUGACUGGGAGGGAUGUGGGUGCAGCCACAUACCCUAAAAGGCUGUUCAGCUACCUGGGGAAGCAAGCCCGCAUCAAGGAGCAAGGUCCUGGAGGUGCCUGUGUCCGCAGCCCCAGGCUUCUCUCGAUGGCUCCCAUGAGGAGCCCUGGGGACAGGAAAAAGGCCCGGGUGGCUCUAAAAACAGCCGCCUCUUCACCUGCAGAAUCGGCUUCUCUCUGUGCAUUAUCAGCAAAGGGAGUGAAAAGCGUACCAGAGGGGUGAUUUGAAUUUCAUUUUCUCAGUAUGUCCCCCUGUGGGGAACGCUGCAUGGUGCUGCAUGCUGAUUCAAAGAAAACUCACUGCUUGCUGGGGUUUAAGGCUAGUCGUGGGCAGCUCAUGUCGCACUGGGCUGCGGGGGGGCCCUCAGAAUGCCUGGGGGAUCACACAACUGGGGACUGGCCCAGCAACCUUUGCGGAGAAGCUGUGUGAUUCCAGCAGGCCCCAGACCCCCUGCGGACCCCCGUGUCCUCAUCUAUAAAAUGAGCGAGUCGCACACUGCGACCCUUCACCUCACUUCAGUUCUCAGAUUCCAUAAAAGGCAAAUGAUAAGAUGUGGCUUAAAACACAAAAGAUUCGCUCCCCAAGAUAAAUGCGUACGGGGGUUUUGCUGAGGGUGGGUGGCUUUGUUUGCCCUUCCUUUGGGUUGUUUGUGGGACAAAGGAGAGGGAGAGGUUAGGCUCUGAAGCCAAUCUCAGAAGGAACCACAGUCCCUGGUGGGAGGUCAGGCUAAGGACAGAUACUGUGAGGAGGCCAGCCAGGAAUCUUUGUCCACCUGCAAGAGCCCCUCCCCCACUGCCCAGCCACCCCCAUAGGCCAAAGGAAUGUCAGAGGAGAGAUUAAAGUCUCAAGGGGAGAAGAUAAAGAGGCCUCAAGACCUAUCAGCCUUGGAGCCAAACCCCAGGCUUUGUGAUCAAAAGACAAAUAACCAGCCAUUCCCACUGCGUCUCUCAAACCUGCUGAGCGGCACAAAUGUUUCCUUCUUAUAAACAAGCUUACCUGAAGAAGGCGAAGUAAGCCAGACCCUGAAAUCCCACGCAGUUUUUGGCAGACCCCUUAGGAGAAACUGCUGCCGACAGCUUAUCAAGUGUCUUUCUCACAUCUCUCUGAAAGAAGAUGUCAGAGUCUGAACAGAAACCACAAACAAAAUCAGCUCGGUUCUUCAUGCCAGCUUCCCCAUCCUGACACAGGGAAGGUUUAGAAUGUGAGCUGCAGAAUUAGAAGGCGCUGAAAGGAUUGGAGAGAGGCUAGUGGGUCGAUAACAUAAGCAGAGAGAGGAGGCCGCCUGUGGCUUCCUUUCACAGAUAUUUGGCUCUAGACUGCUGAGUCGCACAACUCUAGGGGGCACUGUUCUCACUGAAGUCUAUAGACUUGUGUUUCAGGGGGUGUUAACAGUGAAUACCAUGCUAAUAGCGCCCUGUGGAGUGAAGCAAGACAAAAGCCCCAG
ensembl:lncRNA